rnacentral:rRNA from 1 species
UACGGAGGGUGCAAGCGUUAGUCGGAAUCACUGGGCGUAAAGGGCGCGUAGGCGGAAAAGUCAGUCAACUGUGAAAUCCCGGAGCUCAACUCCGGAACGGCAUUUGAUACUACUUAUCUAGAGGAUAGGCGGAGAAAACGGAAUUCCACGUGUAGCGGUGAAAUGCGUAGAUAUGUGGAAGAACACCUGUGGCGAAAGCGGUUUUCUAGUCUAGACCUGACGCUGAGGCGCGAAAGCAAGGGGAGCAAACAGG